AUUAUCAUUUUGAAACAUUAUGCAACACAUGUUUGAUUCGAUAAAUUAACAUGUUGAUUUUCAAUAUCACAUAGAUUUUUUUAUUUAUAUAAAUAAAUCUUUAAUUUUUUUUAAAGAGAUAUAUAAUUAAAAUCAAGAUAAAGAAAGUUCUAAUCAAUUCAAAUUAAACAAAACUAUAAAUUACAAUGGAUAGAAAUUAAACUAAAUUCAAAACACAUAACUAUC
rnacentral:lncRNA from 1 species